GAGGGUCGACGAUGUUCCCGGGCAUCGCGGAUCGGAUGAGCAAGGAGAUCACGGCACUGGCACCGUCGAGCAUGAAGAUCAAAGUGGUGGCACCCCCGGAGAGGAAGUACAGUGUGUGGAUCGGAGGGUCCAUUCUCGCAUCCCUCAGCACGUUCCAACAGAUGUGGAUUGCGAAAAGCGAGUACGAUGAAUCUGGUCCAUCAAUCGUUCACAGGAAGUGUUUCUAGAUUGUCCAUGUGCACAGUCUACCUUCUUCAGCAUACAAUUAUACCUCUCGCAGUCUGCUACUCUCAGACUGGUUACUUUAAAAAAAAAAAUCUUUUUAUCGUAGCUAAUUAGUUGGAAGAGACUGAUGGUAUGUUAACUGCAGCAUUUUUCUAGAGAUUGCUGGACUGGAUGAUACUACUGUAGGCAUUUCCUUGAAGUUGAUCCCGCCUUCUCAAAGUUCGCAGCAGCAGUGAGAUUCAUGCUCUGUAGCUUGUCCACAUUAGAUUCUCGCACAGCCAAUGUUUUUGUGGAUGUAGCAUCCGCCAUGGCGCAAGUAUGGCGUUAAUAUUCAUCUGUGAAGGGCCGGGUAGAAUGUUGGACUCGGUUAUGCUUGUAGACCAUAUUGCACUGCUGGUUGUGUCCCAACACUUCAGCCUGACCUGUAAUAUUUGUAUAUUUGUGACAAGAAAAGGCAAUCACAUUUUCUUUUAGUGGUUUUGUUGCAUUGGCUAGUAGUUAUCCUCGGAUGCAUUCUGUCUUCUUCACCAUGUAGUUAUCGUAGAAAAACUGUGUCUUUUGUUCGUCAUGUGUCGCUUGAAACCAAUUUUUUUUCAAUCUGCUGGUUGGUGGAUGGUGAGUGUUAGUUGAUGUUCAAAUUACACUAUCAACCCAUCUUCCUACCUGGUCUUACAAUCAUUGAAUCAUGUCAGAUGGUUGUUUCUGUUGACUCUGCCCAUGACAACGACAGAGAUGAUCUAUGCCGUUGUAGUCGUGAACAUUGCUCCAAGCUUUGUCAGCUUAGUUCAUCACCAAACGCCUGAUAAUGAAUUCCCAUACCAACGAAGUGUUGAAUAGACGAAUUUAAGAAUGAUUCUGAGACUAGCUUCUCUACAACUUCAGCCUCCAGUUUGGGAACCAUGGAAUACAAGUAAACAGCCUUGAUAUCCUCGCUAGUGAGCAAAGCUUCAUCAGAGGAACCGAAAUCAACCCCAACUUCUUUGGACCAACUACUUCCACGCUUCCGUUCUCUCAAGCAGAACGAAAUCAAACUACUACUUAGCUGAGCACGGAGACAUGGUGUUUGUUUUGGUCCAUGGCCUCUUCAUGGCCAAACAAUCUAAGGAUAGCCUGUUAAAACAUUUGGCUCUCACCAAGUCUGUGUUUAAUGGAUUGAUCAUGUUGAUGAAGGAAUUAAAUGAUGGGGAACUUCAGGUGGCCACAAACUUACUACACUUGUAAAUACCAUACAAAAUUUCUUUCGGAUUUUUUCGGAAUUAGACUCCAAACAAACAUUCAUAAAAUAAUCAGUUCAAACAGAAUCACCUAUUUAUCCCUUUUUCCAAAUUCUUGUAAGGUAUAAUUUGCACAAAAAAUGUAAAUAUAAAUAUAACUCUUUAAAGUGUAAUGAAUAAAAUAAAGUCUAAUAUUCUAAAAACAAACUUUGUCCAAGUUUUUGAUGUACUCUAAUGGUGUUUCUUUUCAACACCAUCUUAGGCAUAGGCAAUUGAUAUAACAAAAGUUUUAAAGAAAAACAUUAUUUACAUAUAUAGAAUCUUGUUAGUAUUACUAUAAUUUUUGUUACUACCAACACAAGCUACUCUAAAUUGCAUACAACAAUGUAUUGUAUGGAACAUUGCUAAUGCACACGACAAUAGAUAAAGUAUACAUUCUUCAUGGAUGCAUAUUUAAGUGUUCUAUAAAGUGCAUUAUGGUGUGCAACCUAAGUAUAGAGCAGCUUGUGGUGGCAUUAAUAAAAAUAUAUUGGUAUGCCAUGGAUGGCAAGUUGUGGCGGUAGUAAUAAAAACUAUAGUAGUAUUAUCUGCACCAUAUAUAUAUAUAUAUAUAUAUAGAUAGAUAGAUAGAUAUAGUGUAUAGAUUAUUGAAUAAUUUUUUUAUUAUUACUAUUACAUCUUAUUUUAAUACCUUUAAAAGUAUGCAUUAGAAGCUUAAAAUAUUAUUUUAAGUCAUAAAAUUAUAUGAUAAUAAUACUAACAUCUUCUUUAAUAGAAAUAAGAAACUUCAUAUCUAACAUUAUAAGCAUUCUAAAUAAACUUUAAAUCACAUUUUUAGGUGCAAGGCCACCACAAUUAAUCUAAAUUUAUUAAUCUAUAAGAAACUAGAUGAAAUAUAAAUAUCUAACAAAUAAGUUACAAGAUCAUUCAUAUUUUAGAUAAAAGAACACAAUUAAAAAUAAAUAAAAAUAAAUGUGAUUCUUUAUAUAUGAAAGAAAUUGCUAACAAACUAUAAAUUUAUAAUAUUCUAUUUUACUUUCUUUUACUAUAUUUUCAAUUAUAGAUUUCAAAUCUAAUAAAAUAUCAUAAUAUUAUAAAACAAUUCUUUGUCAUUGUUCAAUGCUUUCCAUUUAUCUUAGUUAUAAUUUUUAUUACUUAAAUCUUGUUCAAUGGAAAAUUAUAUAAAAUAAUUUUGUAAAAGGAGUUUCUAUAGCUACAUGGCACCUCCAAGACCACCUCUUAAUUUAAUAAAAAAUCUCCCUCUCUCUCUCUCUCUCUCUCUCUCUCUCUCUCUGUCUAUAUAUAUAUAUAUAUAUAUAUAUAUAUAUAAUUUUAAUUUUUUAAAUCUAUCCAACUUAUUUCUAUAUAUUUUUACUUAUUUAUUUUUAAUUUUAUUUACUUAAAUAAAUUUAUUAUCUAUAGUACAAUUUUCUGAUAGAGAAUUAUUAUAUUUAUAUAUUUAAUGUAAAGUUAUAUCUUUGCAUUGUAAUCAAAUGUCAUGGAAAAUAAAAUUCUUCUUUUAUACAUUGAAAUUGAAUUAUUUUUUCUGAACUUAUAUUUUUAUAAAAUCAGUUGUAUAUUCUAAAAAUUAAAUUCAUAAAUUCUUAUAUUUAAAAAAAUAAUAAUAAAUGUAUACACAUAUUUUACAUGCAUAUACAUUUCUAAUUUGGAUGUCAGUAAAAAAUACACUUUAUUACUUCAAUAAAUAUUAUCAUAGCCAUAGAAUCUUAUUAUUAUUAUUAUUAUUAUUUGUUUCACAUCAUCUAUAAGUAAUGUAAUCUCAUUAACAAAAAUCGUAAUUCUUACUUAGUUUUGUAUCAAAAAUAUCAAUUACAUCAGAUUUUAAUAUAAAUUUUUAACACAAUUAUUUUAGGUCUUUAAUAAUAUUAAUAUUACAAUAUAAAAUUGCAUUAUAAUAUUAAAAUUAGAUGAAACAAAUUCUAUUUGUAUAAAAUUAUAUACCUUGAACAUAAUUAAUAAGCACAUAUAUUUAUUCUCUUAAUCACAUAAAUAUAUGUAAACAAUUAAUAUAAAUUAAUUAAUCAACUACUAUGUACGAAAUAUUGUUGUUAUUUAUUAAACAAACAUUUAUAACUUUCAAAAUUAAUGCUAAAAUGAAAUAUAUAUCUAUAUAUAUAUAUAUAUAUAUAUACAUACAUACAUUUAAACAAAAAAAUAUAUAUGUUAGUAUUGGUGUUGAUAGUUAUUUCCAAUGAACAUAAUCUAUUUUUUAUUAACAAAUGAGUUGAUGCAUGCUGGGGAUUUGUAAUGAAUGUUGUUUUGAAAGACUCUACUAAUUGACAAGUAUGUGACUACAAAAGGCCACAAGACUCUCUCUGCACUAUAACUAUAAGGCUCAUAUUUUUUGUCCAUGUAGCUUGUAUAUAUAUAUAUAUAUAUAUAUAUGUAUAUUUAAAUCAAAAUAUUUUUAUUCAAAAACAAAAUACAAUAAAAAACCAAAAAAUAUUUUAAAAAUAAAUAAAAAAUUAUUAAUACUUUUAUGAAGCUAUUAUUCAAAUUUAUUUUUAAUUUCUAAUUUAAGAUUUAUUAUUUUUUCUUAAAUUUAUUAAACUUUGGAAUUUAUUUUUAAAAUAAAUAACAAUAAAAUAAUUUAUAGUGUUUUUAUUGAUAAGUAAAAUUAAGAGCUAAAUUUGGAUCAUUAUUACAAAGUUAUAAUACUUAAAUAUUUAUUGAGAUAUAUUUAAAUUUAAUUAAUAUUUUUUAUUAAGUUAUAUAUAUAUAUAUAUACACAUAUUAUGAAAUUAUUUAAAAGAAGUUAGUAGACUUUUAAAUAUUUUUUACCAUGUUUUAAUUCUAGUACAAUGUAUUUAAAUUAUCUUAUUAAGUUAUGGAAAAGAAGUUAGUAGGUUAUUAAAUGUUUUGUUAGAUUGGUUGUAAAGGUUUUAUGAUAAUCUUGUAUGAUAAGGUUGUUUAGCAUAGUUUAUUUUGCUUAAUUAAAAAAAAUUACAUCUUGUUACAUUUAAAUUUAAAAAAUACAUACUAUACACAUAUCUGUAUUUAGAUUGCUUUUACAAUUUUUAUCUUUUUGUUUUUUGCAUAUUUCAAAGAAAGCCCAGCAUGUGUAUAAUAAUUUGUAUAAACCUUAGAAAUUAAUAAUAUUUAAGUAAAUAAUACUUAUUUAUAAAUAAAUUACUGUUUGGUUUUUAAUACAAGAAUUUAAAAGAACCAAUUGUUUAUUCCAAAGUAAUAGUAGCACAUUAAUAAAAAUCCUUCAAAAAUGAAACUAAACAAACCAAUGCAUCUCAAAUGAAAAGGAGAAGAAUGAUCUUACAUAGACAACCACAAGGAGGGACAUGACAACUUAAUUAGACUAUGGGUUUAGGAACAUCAACCAUUCCCUACUACCAAAAAAGCUUACAUGAUUUUAAAUAACACAAUAUUCCUUGUGACUUUUGUGCAUUAUUGAGGAUAUCCAUCUAUCUAGAUUUUGGACAAUGUUUUACUGCCCAAAUUUCAAUAAGAACCAUUCACAUAUUUUGAAACACAUUUGAUACACUCUACAUUCAUGUCUAGAGUAUAGGGACUUGGGUUUAAGAUUAGGGUUUCAGAUUAGGGCUUGCAGGGUUACAGUUAAAAGUUAGGAUUAAAGAUUUAGAUGGAGUCUUGGUUCAGAGAGAAAAAAGGAUUUGGGGUAAAGUUUUUAUGAAAGAGAAUCAUCGCCCAAACAAGUAGCGGGACUGCUGAAUGCCUUUUGCAAUGAAUGAAAAUUUAUCAACGUCCGUCAAUAUGUACAAGACCAUCACAUAAUGGCCCCCCUGACCACAAUUUGAAAAACACACACUUCCUGCCUGGAACCAGUAAUACAAGUCAUUGUAGGGGAGAGAGAGAGAGGGAGAGAGAGCUGUAGCUGCGUAUAAUAAGGGUCUCGCAGAUUCAGUGCUACGUCGUAUGGAUACACCGUAUCACUUCUGGUGUACAGGUUACUAAAUACUACUCGACACGGGGCGGGCCGAUCUGCGGAACGCGCCGGGGCCAUGUCCCAGGGCCCUAGGCCCGCCAUAUUUCUCUCGUCCACCCGGGCCUACGCAAACUUUCCCUUCUCACUUUCCCAGCUCACGCUCUCUGUUCAACGCACAACAACGCGUAACCGAGACGGGUUCGGAGCACAAAGUCACCCAGCCCGGCCCGACCCGUGCCCGUCUGGCGCCUAUCUCUCUCCGCCUCUGGGCCCGUUUCGCUCCUGUCCUUGUGUGCUCUGUCUGGCCCUUCACCGCGCUUCAUUGCUUCUUCGACCGAGAGCCUCUUAGCUCCGUCUUGUUCACCACUGCCGCGGCACUCCGACCCCUUGCAUACUCUCUUCUGCGGUGCCUGCUUCUCCCCAUCUCCUGCAUCGGUGCCCUGUUGUGUUUUUUUUUAAAGGUCAGUCCCUCUAUCACGUCAGUGUUUCGCAUUUCCGUGAAGUGCUCAGGGUUUUUUUUGCUGCGAACUGUCGGUGGAGAUGUGCUUUUUGUCGUGUUUGAUGUGUGUGCGGUGCAGCGAUGGUGGGUUUCUUGGAGGAGGAGGGAGAGUCUUAUUUUAGUCUUGUUGCCCGGUGUGCUCGGGGCGCGAAUGUGGGUUUAUGGUAGCGCACAGGUCUGCGUUUGCGAUAUGUGUGUAGAACCCUGUGCCGAGCGAUCAUCAUAAUAGUAGUUUCUCGUUUCGGAGGGGCUGGGCUUGUCAAGUGGAACGCAGAGUCGUAGUUUUGAGAGUUCCAGACGCGCAUCGCGCAGCUGUAGUGAGAUGUAGCUUCUCGGUGUGUUUAGUCAAGGUUUCGCUUUUCCGAUCUCGGAUCAUGUUUACGUCCGUCCUUUAAGCUGGAUCUCUUGUUCUUUACAGAACUUGUUCAUCGCCCUGACUAAGUUGCUCCAGUGUUGGUCUGAAGACGACAAGCCUCUUUCUUUCUUGAAUAGUAAGAAGAGGAAUUUAAUCUGAAGGCUUGUUUUGUACAGUAGUUGGUCGUUUAUUCUUUGAUGUUUAACUUAGCGUUUCGUUGUACUUCUACUAAUGUACUCUUUAGCUUGGUCCGAGGCUAUUAUUUAAUGAGUCAUGCCCUGAAGUCGGGAACAGCGGGUUGCACCUACAAUCAUAUGGAUAUGAGGAUUCGGGUCGAGUAUUAACUUGUAGUCCUUUGUUCAUUGUUUUUGAUUGCGGGGUUUAGCUGGUGCAACUGCCUGAAUAGCACGCACUGCUUUCCCUGCGUUCGAAUCGUCAUCAACAUUACUAUUGUGUAAUCCACAUGGCUACAGCUGCUGUAAGGUUCUGCGUCAAGGGCGUUCUUCAAGAAAUAACCUAUGUCUUCCUUGAAAUUAAAUAUUGGUGGUUGUUGUGCAGGUCCGUAUUAAAUAAUGGCAGGAGAAGGUGAGGAUGUUCAGCCUUUGGUGUGCGACAAUGGAUCUGGAAUGGUCAAGGUAUGCUCUGUCCGACGCAUUGUACUCAAUCACUCAUCCUUCCUGGUCUGUCUUAAGAGAGGCCCUAUUUCACUGCUCUUAAAUAAGUUGAAGUCGCUAUGAAAAUUGAUGUCUAAGCAGUUUGUCCCUUGAAAGCUACUAAUUUUUGUAACGAUUCACUCCAAUCUCAAAAAUCGUAAGACCAUAGCAGAGCUGUUGUAGUAUCAAAUCUCCACAACCGUCUUCUGUGUCUAGGUCAUGUUGGACCUGUGUUUAGGCCAAUCAACAUGUAGGAGUAAUAUGGUGCAUGUAAUGCAGGCCGGUUUCGCGGGAGAUGAUGCUCCCCGCGCUGUGUUUCCCAGCAUCGUCGGACGGCCAAGGCACACUGGUGUGAUGGUGGGCAUGGGACAGAAGGACGCGUAUGUGGGCGACGAGGCCCAGUCGAAGCGGGGCAUCCUGACCCUGAAGUACCCCAUCGAGCACGGGGUGGUGACGAACUGGGACGACAUGGAGAAGAUCUGGCACCACACGUUCUACAACGAGCUGCGCGUGGCGCCGGAGGAGCACCCGGUGCUGCUGACGGAGGCGCCGCUGAACCCGAAGGCGAACAGGGAGAAGAUGACCCAGAUCAUGUUCGAGACGUUCAACGUGCCGGCGAUGUAUGUGGCGAUCCAGGCAGUGCUGUCGCUGUACGCGAGUGGGCGAACGACGGGUAUCGUGCUGGACAGCGGAGACGGCGUGACGCACACAGUGCCGAUCUACGAGGGGUACGCGCUGCCGCAUGCGAUCCUGCGGUUGGACUUGGCGGGGCGGGACUUGACGGACGCACUGAUGAAGAUACUGACGGAGCGCGGGUACUCGUUCACGACGACGGCGGAGAGGGAGAUCGUUCGGGACAUGAAGGAGAAGCUGGCGUACGUGGCGAUCGACUUCGAGCAGGAGCUGGACACGGCUCGGAGCAGCUCGUCGCUGGAGAAGAGCUACGAGCUGCCGGAUGGGCAGGUGAUAACGAUCGGGGCGGAGCGAUUCAGGUGCGCGGAGGUGCUGUUCAACCCGUCGCUGAUCGGGAUGGAAGCGGCAGGGAUCCACGAGACGACGUACAACUCGAUCAUGAAGUGCGACGUGGAUAUCAGGAAGGAUCUGUAUGGGAACAUAGUGCUGUCGGGAGGGUCGACGAUGUUCCCGGGCAUCGCGGAUCGGAUGAGCAAGGAGAUCACGGCACUGGCACCGUCGAGCAUGAAGAUCAAAGUGGUGGCACCCCCGGAGAGGAAGUACAGUGUGUGGAUCGGAGGGUCCAUUCUCGCAUCCCUCAGCACGUUCCAACAGAU
rnacentral:lncRNA from 1 species